rnacentral:misc_RNA from 1 species
GUAGGUGAACCUGCGGAAGGAUCAUUACAGAGUUCAUGCCCUGACGGGUAGAUCUCCCACCCUUGAUAUUUAUACCUUUGUUGCUUUGGCGGGCCCGCUUCGGCCACCGGCUCCGGCUGGUGAGUGCCCGCCAGAGAACCCCAACUCUUGUUUUUUAGUGUCGUCCGAGUACUAUAUAAUAGUUAAAACUUUCAACAACGGAUCUCUUGGUUCUG